GACGUAGGGCGCGAGCGUUGUCCGGAUUUAUUGGGCGUAAAGAGCUCGUAGGCGGCUUGUUGCGUCGACUGUGAAAACCCGCGGCUUAACUGCGGGCUUGCAGUUGAUACGGGCAGGCUAGAGUUCGGUAGGGGAGACUGGAAUUUACGGUGUAGCGGUGAAAUGCGUAGAUAUCGUAAGGAAGACCAGUGGCGAAGGCGGGUCUCUGGACAGUUCCUGACGCUGAGGCACGAAGGUCAGGGGAGCAAACGGG
rnacentral:rRNA from 1 species